rfam:Shimia marina strain CECT 7688 genome assembly, contig: 0018
ACAGAGGGCUGGAUGGCCGCAGGAGUGUAAGCUCGUGAGGAAAGUCCGGACUCCACAAGGCAACGGUGCCGGGUAACGCCCGGCCGGGGAAACCCGAGGGAAAGCGCCACAGAGAACAGACUACCCUGAUCCGUCAGGGAAAAGGUGAAACGGUGGGGUAAGAGCCCACCGCGCGGCUGGCAACAGCAGCGGCACGGCAAGCCCCACCGGGAGCAAUGCCAAAUAGGGAUCGCGCGUGGCCUUGGCCGCAGGGGUGUCUUGCCCCGAGCAGGUCCGGGUUGGCAGCUUGAGGCGUCUGGUAACAGGCGCCCUAGAUGAAUGGUCAUCGGCGCAGGGGCAACCCUGCGUCACAGAAUCCGGCUUACAGGCCCUCUGUGCGU